rnacentral:rRNA from 1 species
UACGUAGGGUGCGAGCGUUGUCCGGAAUUAUUGGGCGUAAAGGGCUCGUAGGCGGUUUGUCACGUCGGGAGUGAAAACUCGGGGCCCAACCCCGAGCCUGCUUCCGAUACGGGCAGACUAGAGGUAUGCAGGGGAGAAUGGAAUUCCUGGUGUAGCGGUGAAAUGCGCAGAUAUCAGGAGGAACACCGGUGGCGAAGGCGGUUCUCUGGGCAUUACCUGACGCUGAGGAGCGAAAGUGUGGGGAGCGAACAGG